AUUUUCAAGAGAAAUAAUUCAAGAGUGAUGGUUAAAAUUUUACAACAGAAGGAACUUUGGGUCUCAGAGUGUUCCAAAUACUCAUCAGAGUUUGCAAACAGCAAUGACAAAUACAAGUUUUAAAUUGCCCUUCAGCAUUGAAGGUUCUGUCCCCAGGAAGUGGAAAAGCAGCUAUUGUGAGAGCUGCCCAGGACUUCUGCAGGGGUGAUCUGCAGAUUUGGAUGGAGAUCUGCUGGUUGGCUUACUUAGUUCACAUGUGUUCUGUCAUCUUGAUUUACUAUUGAAUUUUGUUCCUGUGGACAGCACAGUAGGCUUUCUUCCCUGGUAAAUCAGACUGAGAUCAUCUCUUUGCCUUCACAUAUCAACAUCAGUUAUGAGGAUGAUUUGCCUGCCUCCAUCAGUGGACAUCUUGUAAACAGUACCUGGUAAAGUAG
rnacentral:lncRNA from 1 species